UAGGGAAUCUUCGGCAAUGGGGGGAACCCUGACCGAGCAACGCCGCGUGAGUGAAGAAGGUUUUCGGAUCGUAAAGCUCUGUUGUUAAGGAAGAACGAGUGUGAGAAUGGAAAGUUCAUUCUGUUACGGUACUUAAACAGGAAGGGACGGCUUACUACGUGCCAGCAGCCGCGGUAAUACGUAGGUCCCGAGCGUUGUCCGGAUUUAUUGGGCGUAAAGCGAGCGCAGGCGGUUAGAUAAGUCUGAAGUUAAAGGCAGUGGCUCAACCAUUGUAGGCUUUGGAAACUGUUUAACUUGAGUGCAGAAGGGGAGAGUGGAAUUCCAUGUGUAGCGGUGAAAUGCGUAGAUAUAUGGAGGAACACCGGUGGCGAAAGCGGCUCUCUGGUCUGUAACUGACGCUGAGGCUCGAAAGCGUGGGGAGCGAACAGG
rnacentral:rRNA from 1 species